rnacentral:rRNA from 1 species
CCCCCCCCGCGCCCGGCGGGGCGGGGGCACGGGGGGCCUACGGGAGGCAGCAGUAGGGAAUCUUCCGCAAUGGACGAAAGUCUGACGGAGCAACGCCGCGUGAGUGAUGAAGGCUUUCGGGUCGUAAAACUCUGUUGUUAGGGAAGAACGAGAGGCUAGUGAAUAAGCUGGCACCUGAUGAUCCUACCAGAAACCACGCUACAUGGAG